UGGAGCUGUUCAGGUCCUCAGACUGGGAAUUAUCAUAGAGAAUUAUGCAUCACUAUCAACGCCUACAUGAAUCUGCAGUGGUCAGGUGGUACAGCGUUCACGUGGUACAAGCUCUUAAACAUGGCGUGACGCUGCUCUUUAAGUUACCACCCAGGAACCAACGCUGCCUGCAGCUCAACCUAGCUGAUGGAUCUGAGUGCGGUCGCCAACCUCCAAUCACCCCAGACACGAGCCCCAGGACCCCACACCACCCCACGGUA
rnacentral:lncRNA from 1 species